AUGAUGCCACUGGGCAAAAGACGCAACAGAAGCAAGGGUAGCUGGAAGCACAUGCGCUGGAGAUGUAGCCAAGGAAGGAAGCCGCAAAGAGUCCAAGAUGUAGAGGCGAGGAGCGGCUCUACGGCGACGGCCAAUCCCAAUCACUUCCCCUGUGCGAAGGUCCUGUACAAAACAAGAUGAGUCAUCAAACCCGACAAAGCAAUUAUGAUCCGUAAUUUGACCUACUGAAAGAAGGUCCAUAGAUAGCUCAGGAACAAAGAAAAUAUUAGGUACUGUAAAGUGUGGAUCAGAAAGAGAGCCCUUAUGAGUAAUGUGGCAUACAGUACCAUCAGCUGUCUGCACUGAAGCACCAUCUGUGACAGGUGUAGUAGAAGCCAACUUUGACUGAUCAGAUGUGACAUGAAAGGAGGCUCCUGAAUCAAGUACCCAGGCCGACUCUGAAGUACAAGCGGACGAAGUGGCAACAACAGCAACUGAGCCUCUAGUAGAUGGUCCUGGACCACGACCACGAGCAGCACGUCGUGCACGGAAAUCAGUCAACUUCUCAGGAAACUUGACAAAACAAAGCUCGGAUCGAUGAUUGGUCUUGCCACAAUGAUCACAAGGCUUAAAAAUAUUCUUAGGUUUCUGGGCAGCAGCCAACACACUAUGAGGAUUACCACCAGUAGAGGACAGAGAAUUAAGACGAGUCUUUUCAGCAAGUAAAUCAGACAACGCCUUAGCCAUAGUGAGAGUGUCAGAGCCCUGAAGUAAACGAGCACGAAGAGAAUCAAACUCGACCCGAACACCCAUAACAAAUCUGUAAGUGAAGAACUUCUCAAUAAACUUAUGAGCCGGACAUGGAUCAGUAGUACAAGCAGGCACCAUUGAUGUCAAAGCACUCAUCAGGCGAUCAAAGGCUGAGUAGUACUCAUCAAUACUCAUAUCAUUUUGCUCAAUAACAUGUGUCUGCUGCAUGAGGGUGUGUAAUAGAGCACCACUGUCCUGAACAAAACGCUCCUUCAAAUGAGACCAGGUGGCUUUAGCAGUUUCAAAUUUAGAUAAACUCAUAAUCAUAGACGGUUUGACGCUGUUCACCACAGCUGCCAUCACUUUACCAUCAUUAAGUUGCCAUGUUUUGAUAUCAGCAGCAUUGCGACGAUCAUCAGCAAGAACGGGUGCCGCAUCAGUCAAAUGGAAGAGUAAUCCAUGUCCCCGGAGUGCAGUCUCAACACAGAAAGCCCACUCCGGAUAAUUUUGACCAUCAAGAGUGAUAUUGACCACAAUAGCAUUUGUCGCCAUAUUGAAUUGAAUCAAAAUCAAGGAUAAGAAGAGACCUGAGACCAAACAAACCAGAGCACAGCGGCUGGCGGGAGCAGCGACGUCGCAGAUCCGCGACCGGUGUAGAUUUCCGGUGGGAGCAGCGGAUCUGCAACCCUGCGUGCAACGACGGCAGGCGGGGAUCCGCGGAACUUGUCCCAGGCGGUAGAACGGCGCAGGCAGAGAUAGAAAUCCGCCCCUGGCGCACUGCCUCUGGCAGCGGAAGGAGCCCUGCCCCUGGCGCACUGCCCUUGGCAGUGGAAGGCGCCCUGCCCCUGGAGUACAGCGGUGGCGGACGACGCUCUGCUCCAGGCGGCGGACACCCCUGGCGGCGGAUCCAGGCGGUGGACACCCUUGGCGGCGGAUCGCGGCGACUGAGAGAUCCGCCCCUGGCGGCGGACGACGCUCUGCCCCAGGCGGCGGACGGCGCUGAGAUGAGAGAGAUCCGCCCUGGCGGCAGAUCCAUGGGAAAGCGAACAAGGAAGGCCGCGCGCCCCUGGCGGCGGGCAGCACACGACGGCGGACAGGAAGCUGGCCGGAUCUCCUGGCGGCGGAUCGAGGAAGAGGACCGCGAUGGCGGACAGGAGGCUGGCCACGAUUGGCAGCACAGCGACGGCGCCAAAAAAUGGAUCAGGGCCGGAUUUAGACUAUACCCUAACCCUAACCUGCUCUGUUACCAUGUAACUAACCUUGAUUAGGCGAGAUGACUACCCUCGUGGGUACUGUAGCAUAUAUAUAGGCAGACAAUAAUAUAUGGGCCUUAUGGGCCUUAACAGAGGCGUCUACCUCGCCUUGCUCAGGGGCGUAAGGCGUCCGCUGUGGCGUGAGGCGGCUACCUCGCCUUGCUCAGGGGCGUAAGGCGUCCGCUGUGGCGUGCGAGCAGCGUGGAGCGUCGUUAGGGCGUCGCCUUGGGGGAAAUAAGGUUUUGAGGGGUUAAGUGCAGUGGAGGCGACAACGUAUAGUCUACCUCCCGGCGGCGCGCAGUCGCGGCGACAGCCGUACGCAGCGCGCGGGUGGAGCAGCUCCGCUGGGGCGCGAUAACUAGUAGGGCAUGGCCUCGGCGGCGCUUGCUCCCUCUCAGGCGGUGGCGGCCCGCCCUCUUAGGCACGACGACGUGCAGGGAGAAGUAGAGAUGCGGGGAGGGAGAAGGGAGGAGAAGCUGCUAGUGGCUGAGAGAGAAUUGCUGGCGUCUGAGAGAGAGGGAGAAGAGGGAGAGAGAGAUUGUGCUGGGUGAGGACGUGAGGUAACCCUAAAUUUGUUGGGCUGGGCUGUGGGUUUCUUUAUUUUUUCCUUUAUCUUUUUUCUGUUUCUCUGUUCUAUUAGGCUGAAAUGGUCCUAGGCCUUACAGUUGUGCUAGCUUGUUUAUUACCUCGAAUUAGUGAUAUAUAAAUAAUAUUUGGUCUAAUUUUUUAUAUUUAUAUAUAUAAUUAAGGCAUAGCCUCGCCUUACACCUUUUCGCUUAAAAGGUGAAAAGGGGGACACUCUCCUUAACUUGCCUUACCGCCUUAAGGCCAACUCCAACAAUGCCAUGCAUGCAGGCGUGUAUAACAUUGUUUUGCACUGUAGAUGCACUGUUUGCAGAGAGGAGUUUGAAAUAGAGAGUGUGAUAAGGAGUGGGAUAAGGAGUUUGCUGGAGAUAGUCUAAUAACUAUGUCUACAUGCCCCCGCCAAGGCCUUCAAAUGGGACAUAAAAUUAGAUAUACCAAUCAGAUUCAACACAACACCUUAUAGCCAUCGGUUCACUUAUCCAAGAUCUAUUUUAACUUAUUAAUGAAUUUGAUUUUAAUGAGUUGAUUAUUCCUUAGGUUACAUAGCUCUAGCCUGACAGUUCUCAUGAAACAAUAUACAAAAUAGAGUUCAGGCAAGGAAGGUGCAAUGUCGGGCCCAUUAAUUAGAGUUGGGAUUCAAAAUCUGAAGUGUUAUAUUUUUUCUGUUUUGACUACAUAUAAAAUCUAUUACUUAACAUGUAUAAACCAUAUAUCACCAUAUUAUGAUAUUAGUAAGUGUUUUGGCCUAUUUAGCUUAAUGUUUUUUGUUUUGGCUUCUAACUAGUGCUGCUUGUCGAAACUAGAAGCUAAUUGACCUAAACCGUCCCAGGCCAAGCCGAGUGAAGAGUGCACGCGGCCUAUAGCCCCAAAGGUUGAAGUAGUGCUGAUGUAUCGUUGCCUCACCACAGCUGACAGCUGGUUCGCCAUCGCUGCCUCGAACCUAGAGUUUGGAUUUUGAAAUGGGAACAUGGAGGAGAGAAACCGUGAAACGCCAAGCAACAGGAGCAUGGUUUUUAAAGCGGUAAGGCGGUCCAAGGCGUUGGACCACCGCCUGGACGCCUAGCAAGGCGCCUAGGCGUUAGACCACCGCCCGGACGCCUAGGCGUCGCCUAUGCGACGCCUAGGCGACGCCUUAAGAACAGAGAACAGGAGUCAUGUGCUUGACUAGAGUCAAACGACGAGAUAGGGGGAAUUGGAGGGAAAUUGAGCCACUGGGCCUUGUUGAGCUGAUGAGAAUAGAACGAAGAGUACCAGGAGGCUAUUGUUUUGGGCUCAACUCAUGAAUACCCCCUAUCAUUUUAACUCUAUUUUUAAUUUUUACAAUACAUAUUAUAUGUACGGUUUUUUUUGACAAAAAAUAAUGGGUAUUCAGUUGAGUACCCUUGAACUUGGGAAGGUGUAUGGAGAUUUGGCAAUAACGUAGGAUCUGAUAAGGAAGAAUCUACUUGACAAGGUCAAAGUCAUUGAUCGGAUUAAACACACCUUGAUUGCAUGAGCCGAUGCCUGUAAAGUGCUACAUCCUACUAUUUUGAAGAAGUUGAAGUCCCAUUUGAAGGCAUUGGUGGAGCAUUUAGAGUGAGUUAACACUAGUUGCUUUGGAGGUGAAGCCUAUUGACUCAGUUGAAGAGGCACACGCCACACACAUCCAUUAGUGGCAACUUGGUGUGGCUUGCUUGAGUUGAUAGCUGAAUUGAAGCGUCUCUAGGAUUGGCUUGCUGGCCUGGAGAUGCGACACCAAAAAUCUCCUAGUCGUGGUUUAUGAGGUGACAAGGCGUGCCUAGGGUGUUGGGUGUUGGGGUCACCACAACAUGUGUGCGCAUGGUGUCCGCCAUACGAGAUUAGGUGUCGAUUAGGCGUGGAAAGGUGUUGGCCGAGUGCCUAGAGGCCUGCGGUGUACGCCGGAGCAACAAAUCGAAAGGAAGGCGGAAUUGGGCGAGGAAUCAAGCAGACGCGAUGAAAACUGGUGGGAAUUGACCGCAGGCGAUGAAAACCUAUGAGAAUUGUCCACGACAUAGAAAUUGUGCGUGGUAUUGGCUGCGUAUAAAGCAUAUCAAGCGGCAAAUUAAGUGCACACAUGCAUCUGUCGCGACCAGGCCUCUUCACGGUGAGAUGGAUUGGAAAGAGAGGGUGGGGGACCUGAAGCUCUCGGCGGCGGCGCCCCCACCAGUUCUAUGGCUGCUGGGCUGCUAUUCUGCACUGCCUAGCUAUGAUUUGCCUCUCCGCUGGCUGUCAGCUCCUCCCGCUCGACUCUGCCUGACUACUCUUGAUUGAGUCAUUGUCAGCCAUCAGGUUUCUCUGCUCCUUGUCCGCUCCCUGCCUCCUUCCCUGCUCUCCUCCCCAACUUGCCCUCUGCUGCCUUUUCUCUCUGCUAGUUGCUAUGCUGCUUAUUUUAUUGCUUUGCUCUAUCUCUGCUCAUGGAUUUGUCAGUUUUCCCUCCCUUUAUUGGAUGCUCUGAUGUGUAUUGCUCUCUGCUCUGUCUGCACUGUCAUCACCGUGAGCGUUCGUGGGGACAGGGAUGGGAGAAAAAUCUUCCCCGUGAGGGUUCACGGGGACAGGGACGGAGAAUCUUUCUCCCCGCAAAGGUGGGGACCCAUUCCCUGAUGGGGAAUUUCCCGCUGUCAUCUCCACAGCAUGUGUGUAUGGCAUCACCUAGUCGAUGUGAUGGGGGGGGCACACCUCGCCUCAACACCUAAAAAACCAUGCUCAUAGCAACAGAAUUGGACAUUCAACAUGUGAACAGAAGGCACAGGCUGCUAGUGAGAAAAAACGUUAAUGAACAUGUAAGGUAUAUACUUCAAGAAUGUUGUAACCUAUGAUGACAAUUUCAAGCGAGAUUCUAGUAGCAUUGAUAGGAUGGUGAAGCAUGCCGACGAGGGGCUAAGUUGGACUUAUCAACUAGGAAGAGAAGUGCCAAGAAGCUGAAACACUUGAUGUUGUCAGCAUGUUGUCUUUAUGUCAAUUGUUCCC